UACGAAGGGGGCUAGCGUUGCUCGGAAUCACUGGGCGUAAAGGGUGCGUAGGCGGGUCUUUAAGUCAGGGGUGAAAUCCUGGAGCUCAACUCCAGAACUGCCUUUGAUACUGAGGAUCUUGAGUUCGGGAGAGGUGAGUGGAACUGCGAGUGUAGAGGUGAAAUUCGUAGAUAUUCGCAAGAACACCAGUGGCGAAGGCGGCUCACUGGCCCGAUACUGACGCUGAGGCACGAAAGCGUGGCGAGCAAACAGG
rnacentral:rRNA from 1 species